rnacentral:tRNA from 2 species
GCCCCCGUAGCUCAGGGGACAGAGCAGCGGUGUCCUAAACCGCGAGCGGAGGUUCGAUUCCUCCCGGGGGCA